AUUGAACGCUGGCGGCGUGCUUAACACAUGCAAGUCGAUCGGUAACGCGGGGGCAACCCUGGCGACGAGAGGCGGACGGGGGAGGAACGCUUGGGAAUCUGCCUAACAGCGGGGGACAACCAGGGGAAACUCGGACUAAUACCGCAUGAUCUCUUCGGAGCAAAGAGGGGGACGGGCAGGACUCUCGCUUCUGGAUGAGCCUACGUCUGAUUAGCUAGUUGGUAGGGUAAAGGCCUACCAAGGCGACGAUCAGGAACUGGUCUGAGAGGAUGAUCAGUCACACCGGGACUGAGACACGGUCCGGACUCCUACGGAAGGCAGCAGUGGGGAAUAUUGGACAAUGGGCGCAAGCCUGAUCCAGCAAUGCCGCGUGUGUAAAGAAGGCCUUCGGGUUGUAAAUCACUUUAGCCUGGAAAGAAAAAACUUUGGUUAACACCCAAAGUCUUGACGGUACCAGGAGAAUAAGCACCGGCUAACUCUGUGCCAGCCGCCGCAGUAAUAC
rnacentral:rRNA from 1 species